AGUAACGUAGAGGCUGUCAGUGAGUUGAAGGGGAGGUAAACAAGAUGGCGACAACCUGAGUAGCAGAGCAAAGCGAAGAUUCAACAUUAGUUAGCUUUCUCAGCACCAGCAAAACAUAUUUCACGGUGACUGACAUCAAAGCGAAAACCAUCAAAAGGUACACAUUAAAAAUGAAGCGGUGUGGUCUAAAUGGUCAGUGACCCACAGGAGCCGACCAGAUCCCUGUUGUAUUUUGUUUGGAUCCAGGAUAAUACAACACACUGAUGAAUCCUAAAAAAAGGUUUGCGAUGGAGCAUAAACUCAAAGAAUGCCGCAUGUGCUUAAAGCAGUGCUUUUUGUUUUUAUCAACAUCUGACUAGUAUUAGUGACCUACAAGUGGAAUUCCAAUACAUAGAGGUUAAGUUUAUCUGAUCAACCCAAUAAGGAUGCACGUCUGUUGAAUCUGUGCUGAGUGUGACAGGAUCUAACCUGUCGAUUCUUCUCAAGUUUAAAACUUGGCACACACGUUCAAAGAUCUUGUUUUUGCAUUCCAUAUUUUGGUUAAACUCUCCACAAUCAGAAAGAGUACAGCAUAUUUUUUACACAGAGGACUGAAUCAAGGAUAAUCCACCAUGAGCACCGGUGAUCUUCAUCAACUUGACUAUCUCAAUGAAAAUGAACUGAUGGAUACUUUUAUUCACCGUAUUGACUCAACUGAGGUGAUCUAUCAGCCACGCCGGAAGAGAGCUAAGCUAAUAGGAAAGUACCUUAUGGGGGACCUACUGGGUGAGGGAUCCUAUGGUAAAGUCAAAGAGAUGUUGGACUCAGAGACUCUCUGUCGUAGAGCUGUUAAGAUACUGAAGAAGAAGAAGCUGAGGAGAAUUCCUAAUGGAGAAGCUAAUGUCAAAAAGGAAAUUCAACUGCUACGAAGACUACAACACAAGAAUGUGAUUCAGUUAGUAGAUGUUCUCUACAAUGAAGAGAAGCAAAAAAUGUAUAUGGUGAUGGAGUACUGUGUAUGUGGGAUGCAGGAAAUGCUGGACAGUGUUCCAGAGAAAAGGUUUCCAGUAUUUCAAGCUCACGGGUACUUUUGCCAACUAAUAGAUGGCCUUGAAUAUUUGCACAGCCAGGGAAUAGUCCACAAAGACAUUAAACCGGGGAAUCUGCUGCUGACCACUGAUGGAACAUUAAAGAUCUCAGACCUUGGUGUAGCAGAGGCUCUUCAUCCAUUUGCUGACGAUGACACAUGUCGUACCAGCCAGGGCUCUCCGGCUUUCCAACCUCCAGAAAUUGCAAAUGGGCUGGAUACCUUUUCAGGCUUUAAAGUGGACAUUUGGUCUGCAGGAGUAACACUAUACAACAUUACAACAAGUCUUUAUCCAUUUGAGGGGGACAAUAUCUAUAAGCUAUUUGAAAAUAUCGGAAAGGGAGAUUACACUAUUCCUGAGGAGUGUGGACCUCUUUUGUCAGACCUGCUGCAAGGGAUGCUGGAGUAUGAUCCUGCCAAGAGGUUUUCUAUACAGAACAUAAGACAACACAACUGGGUGCGUAAGAAACACCCUCCAUCAGAGCGCCCGGUGCCAAUUCCAGCCAAUGCUGAGAGCAGAGACCCCUGGCGCAGUAUGACCGUGGUCCCCUAUCUGGAGGAUCUGCACGGCUACACGGAGGAGGAUGAUGAUGAACUCUACGAUGGAGAGGAUGAGAUCAUUUACACUCAGGACUUCACAGUACCAGGACAAGUGUCUGAUGAAGAUCUAGCAACUGCAGACAACAGUCCUGCUAUGGCUAAACCAGUUUGUGCAAAUGGAACAGAGGGGGUGUCUCUCAACAACAAAGCCAAAGCAGAAAGGCGAUCAUCCUCCUCAUCAAACCCCUCACGAAAAGGAGUUUCCACAGCCAGCAAGAUUCGCAAGCUCUCCACCUGCAAACAACAGUGACCCCCCCCCCCAACUCACUGGUGUGUGUUUGAGCUUUAAGCUGGGCUUACACUGUGUGAUAUUCAGGCUGAAUUUGAGAUGUUUUGGGGCAGCUCAAGUCGGGCCAAAUUUCAGCUGCUUACAAUGUCUGUCUGUCCUGGACUGGUCCAAGUUUGGAGAUAAAUCUGCUAAGACUGGUGUCCUUCUAGAAACUGGACUUCUAGUGUGCCGAGUUAUUUGAGUUAUGAAGGGACGCCAAAUUAGAAAAUUAAAUUAAUCAAAGAUCCCCUGGCUGUCAAGAUGGUGCUCCUUUUCUCCUUCAUCUCCAGAAAUACUCAUCUCCUCUGUCUCUUCCCAUCUUCAUCUUCAAAGUGUUGUACUGGACUCAAAGGAUCGCCUCUGUUCACUUUGGCCCACUAGUGUUUUAUUUUAUUACAUUUUGUUUUGACAGAACCCUAAUGACAGUUUUAAAAGCAUUGUGAUGUUGUAACAAUUAAAGAAAAAAUCUUAUCAUAUUCUGUAUUUAAAUCUUUGAGAACAUUUAUAAUAGUCCUUUUAACUCCCACCAACACAAACCUGCAUGCUGUAUUGAGCUGAAGAAAACAGAAAGCAGACUGAAAGACUGAAGCCUUGAACUCCACUGCUGGUCUGUUAGGGAUUUUAAGUAUUUUCUUUUUCAAAAAUAUUUUUUAAUUAUUAUUUAUAUGAAUGUCCUGAACAGGUCUUGUUGAAUGAUCCUAUUCAUUUAAGUUGAGUCUAUUUUUGUUAUGCAAUACAGUUCAGUUGUUAUGUA